AACGAACGCUGGCGGCAUGCCUAACACAUGCAAGUCGAACGAGACCUUCGGGUCUAGUGGCGCACGGGUGCGUAACGCGUGGGAACCUGCCCUUAGGUUCGGAAUAACUCCCCGAAAGGGGUGCUAAUACCGGAUAAUGUCUUCGGACCAAAGAUUUAUCGCCUUUGGAUGGGCCCGCGUUGGAUUAGCUAGUUGGUAGGGUAAAAGCCUACCAAGGCGACGAUCCAUAGCUGGUCUGAGAGGAUGAUCAGCCACACUGGGACUGAGACACGGCCCAGACUCCUACGGGAGGCAGCAGUGGGGAAUAUUGGACAAUGGGCGAAAGCCUGAUCCAGCAAUGCCGCGGGAGUGAUGAAGGCCUUAGGGUGGUAAAGCUCUUUUACCCGGGAUGAUAAUGACAGGACCGGGAGAAUAAGCUCCGGCGAACUCCGU
rnacentral:rRNA from 1 species